UGAAUACGAGAUGCUACGGCGUUGAAGUAGUUUAUGUCAUACUUCCAAGAAAAGCUUGCACUGUCACAAACAAAGAAUGCCUGUACCAUAACCGAUACAGGUGGGUAGGUAGAGUAUACUAAGGGGCGCGAGAUAACUCUCUCUAAGGAACUCGGCAAAAUGACUCCGUAACUUCGGGAGAAGGAGUGCCUUAUUUUUAAGGUUGCAAUAACAAGAUCCAAGCAACUGUUUACCAAAAACACAGGUCUCCGCUAAGUCGUAAGACGAUGUAUGGGGGCUGACGCCUGCCCAGUGCCAGAAGGUUAAAGAAGUCGGUUAGUAUUCGCGAAGCUGAGAACUGAAGCCCUGGUGAACGGCGGCCGUAACAAUAACGGUCCUAAGGUAGCGAAAUUCCUUGUCGGGUAAGUUUUGACCCGUACGAAAGGUGUAAUGAUUUGGAUACUGUCUCGGAGAGGGGCUCGGUGAAAUAGACUUGUCUGUGAAGAUGCGGACUACCUGCACCUGGACAGAAAGACCCUAUGAAGCUUUACUGUAACUCGAGAUUGAAAUUGGACUUUAUUUGCGCAGUAUAGGUGGGAGGCGUUGAGAAUAAUCUUGCGGGAUUAUUGGAGCCAUCAGUGAGAUACCACUCUUGUAAUGUUAGAUUUCUAACUUUGUAUCAUUCUCUGGUCAAAGAACAGUUUCAGGCGGGCAGUUUGACUGGGGCGGUCGCCUCCCAAAGGGUAACGGAGGCGCACAAAGGUUUCCUCUGAACGGGUAGAAAUCGUAUCUAGAGUGUAAAGGCAUAAGGAAGCUUGACUGUGAGACCUACAAGUCGAGCAGGGACGAAAGUCGGUCUUAGUGAUCUGACGGUGCUGAGUGGAAAGGCCGUCACUCAACGGAUAAAAGUUACUCUAAGGAUAACAGGCUGAUCUCCCCCAAGAGUUCACAUCGACGGGGAGGUUUGGCACCUCGAUGUCGGCUCAUCGCAUCCUGGGGCGGUAGUACGUCCCAAGGGUUGGGCUGUUCGCCCAUGAAAGCGGCACGCGAGCUGGGUUCAGAACGUCGUGAGACAGUUCGGUCCAUAUCCGGUGUAGGCGUUAGAAUAUUGAGAGGAGCCUUCUCUAGUAUGAGAGGAUUGAGAAGGACAUACCUCUGGUGUACCAGUUAUUGUGUUAACGGUAAAUGCUGGGUAGCUAUGUAUGGAGUGGAUAACCGCUGAAAGCAUCUAAGUGGGAAGCCCACCUCAAGAUAAGUAUUCC
rnacentral:rRNA from 1 species